GACGAACGCUGGCGGCGUGCUUAACACAUGCAAGUCGAACGGUGAUGCUCCAGCUUGCUGGAGUGGAUCAGUGGCGAACGGGUGAGUAACACGUGAGCAACCUGCCCCAGACUCUGGAAUAAGCGCUGGAAACGGCGUCUAAUACUGGAUACGAAACUGGCCCGCAUGGGCAUGGUUUGGAAAGUUUUUCGGUUUGGGAUGGGCUCGCGGCCUAUCAGCUUGUUGGUGAGGUAAUGGCUCACCAAGGCGACGACGGGUAGCCGGCCUGAGAGGGCGAACGGCCACCCUGGGACUGAGACACGGCCCAGACUCCUACGGGCGGCAGCAGUGGGGAAUAUUGCACAAUGGGCGAAAGCCUGAUGCAGCGACGCCGCGUGAGGGAUGACGGCCUUCGGGUUGUAAACCUCUUUCAGCAGGGAAGAAGCGAAAGUGACGGUACCUGCAGAAGAAGCACCGGCUAACUACGUG
rnacentral:rRNA from 1 species